rnacentral:rRNA from 1 species
AUGUGCGGCGGACGGCAACUUGCGGACGCCAAGGUUCCCGCGGUGACGCGGAAGGUGAUGGCGGCAACGCUGUGGAACGAGAAGAAGAAGCCCCGACGGAGCGACGGUGUGGGGCGGCACUUCACAGGGCUCGGUGGGCGCAGGCGACUCAGGCUAGACGACGACAAGGAGGACUUUGAUGCCGAGUUCAAGGAGUUUGAGGCCAACUCCGGGGACUCCGACUUGGAGCUGGGGCCUGGUGGGGUCGCUGAGAAGGAUGACGAGGAGGAGGUCGUCGAGAUCAAGCCCUUUGCCACCAUCAAGAGGCCCCUCUCCCAUGAUGACUCAAGCACCAUGAGUAUGACUUGUUUUGAUGGUCCUUCAGAAAGGCCAGCAAAAAGGAAGAGAAAGAACCAAUUCAAGGGUAUCCGCCAACGCCCCUUGGGUAAGUGGGCUGCUGAAAUCAGAGAUCCUAGCAAGGGUGUCCGUGUUUGGCUUGGUACUUUCAACAGUGCUGAAGAAGCCGCAAGAGCUUAUGAUGUUCAAGCACUCAGGAUCCAUGGCAAGAAGGCCAAGGUUAACUUUCCAGAGGAACCGGCAGUUCAGGAACCUAAAGCACCCAAGCCAAGCGCAACACAGGAACCUACCGUCACACCAGCAGUCAACAACCCUGCCAACACAAAUGCUUUCAUGUACCCAUCUGCUGACUUUGCAUCAAACCAACCACUUAUUCAGCUUGAUAACGUGCCAUUUGUUCCUACGAUGAACUAUGUUGCCCCUGUUGAAGCUCUUGCUAUGAACAUGUACUUUGGCGAGGGAAGCAACAGUUUUGGCUGGUCUGACUUGGGCUGGGAGUAUGACAUCAAGACUCCAUAUAUAUCAUCCAUGGCUCCCGUUUCCACUAUUGCUGAAGGAGCAGAAUGUGCGCCUGUUCACAGUAACACCUACAACUCAAUGGUGCCUCCUGUUAUGGAGAACGAUGUCGUCGACAACAUGGACCUUUGGAACUUUGAUGACAUGCCCAUCUGUGACGAAUUUUUCUGA